rnacentral:rRNA from 1 species
AGUGAACGCUGGCGGUAGGCCUAACACAUGCAAGUCGAACGGCAGCACAGUAAGAGCUUGCUCUUACGGGUGGCGAGUGGCGGACGGGUGAGGAAUACAUCGGAAUCUACUUUUUCGUGGGGGAUAACGUAGGGAAACUUACGCUAAUACCGCAUACGACCUACGGGUGAAAGCAGGGGAUCUUCGGACCUUGCGCGAUUGAAUGAGCCGAUGUCGGAUUAGCUAGUUGGCGGGGUAAAGGCCCACCAAGGCGACGAUCCGUAGCUGGUCUGAGAGGAUGAUCAGCCACACUGGAACUGAGACACGGUCCAGACUCCUACGGGAGGCAGCAGUGGGGAAUGUUGGACAAUGGGCGCAAGCCUGAUCCAGCCAUACCGCGUGGGUGAAGAAGGCCUUUGGGUUGUAAAGCCCUUUUGUUGGGAAAGAAAAGCAGCAGGUUAAUACCCCGCUGUUCUGACGGUACCCAAAGAAUAAGCACCGGCUAACUUCGUG